rnacentral:tRNA from 1 species
GGCUAUUCCCAUGGGGUAGUUUGUCUUGAAAAUAAACUAAGAGUGCUCAACCCACUCAAUAGCCU